rnacentral:rRNA from 1 species
UACGAAGGGGGCUAGCGUUGUUCGGAUUUACUGGGCGUAAAGCGCACGUAGGCGGUUUGUUAAGUGAGAGGUGAAAUCCCAGAGCUCAACUCUGGAACUGCCUUUCAUACUGGCAAGCUAGAGUCCGGAAGAGGUAAGUGGAACUCCUAGUGUAGAGGUGGAAUUCGUAGAUAUUAGGAAGAACACCAGUGGCGAAGGCGGCUUACUGGUCCGGAACUGACGCUGAGGUGCGAAAGCUAGGGGAGCAAACAGG